rfam:Cyberlindnera jadinii strain CBS1600 genome assembly, contig: CJ1
GCUCGUGGACAAAGAAUUGUUACUUUCGAAGCUUUCAAAAGGAAUCCUUUGAUUCAUCAUUAGCUUUGGGGAAAGUCUCCCACCCAACAUUCACGGAAAUCGUAGUGGUGUUUCUUCCUAAUGGUGAACCAACCCACUGGAAUUGAUGUCUGCUUCUGUUGAUCUCUGCUCCAGAGGACCUUCUCGCUCUGUCUAUGAGUGUCUGUGGCUGGUGCGUUAACCUCUUGAAGAAGGUCUAUGAAGUUCUCAGGUGCUGCUUAUGUGUUUCUCUGAUGAAGAUUUGUAUGGCGAGACGUGUAUGUGAUGCCUUCUGGGUUAUGCUCCUAGUAUUGAGCCUCUUGUUGAAUCCUUCAAAUGACUCUUGGAACAUCGCAAGCUCGUCCUUGGUUCCGUACUCGUCUGAUAUCUUGAACAUGGCACCUGAGAGUCUUUUCUCUUCUCCAAUUGGGCAUCUCUUCAUGGGCUCUCUAGGGAUGAGGAUGCUCCUUCUGGACAGGGGUUUACUGCUGCGUCGUUCCUGGUUAUCAUUCAUCUUAUUGGUGGAUUGAAUAUCAUUUAUGAUAUAUCUUCGGUAUUCGGGGCUCCUAGCCUAGACGAUAGUUAUAACAAUUGAUCAUCUUCUUUAAUGAUUAACCCAAUGGAGCUUACUCUUGUCACACCACGAG